rnacentral:rRNA from 1 species
UACGAAGGGGGGCUAGCGUUUGUUCGGAUUUACUGGGCGUAAAGCGCACGUAGGCGGAUCGUUAAGUCGGGGGUGAAAUCCUGGAGCUCAACUCCAGAACUGCCUUCGAUACUGGCGAUCUUUGAAUCCAGGAGAGGUGAGUGGAAUUCCGAGUGUAGAGGUGAAAUUCGUAGAUAUUCGGAAAAACACCAGUGGCGAAGGCGGCUCACUGGACUGGUAUUGACGCUGAGGCUCGAAAGCAUGGGGAGCAAACAGG